UCAUUAAAUAUGAUAGAUAAACAAGUAGAAAAGAAUAUAGUAAUACAUAAUACUCUCCUCAUAUGUAAUACUCUCCUUAAACGCAAAUCAAAUUGUUUCAACCAGAUAUGAUGAUUAAAUGUUGUAUCGGCAUGGUUUUAUCGGUCUACUUUGCUUUUUUGAUUUGGUUGCCAGCUUUAACCUAAUUCUUGAUUUAGAACUAUGAUUUUGAACUAAAACAUUUCCGUGUUGAAUAAAAUACUAUUUAUUCUUAACUGUAUUUUUUUUGAGGCUUCAAUUAUCAAAUGUUGGUGGUAAUUUUAGUUAUGCCACUGUGAAAGCGUUGAUUGUUAAGGUAUAUGUGAAUCCAUGUGCAAUAGCAUAGGUUGUAUUUUUUUAUGUAUUCACAUAAGACAUUUUCAAGCACAUUGUCCAAUCUGCAAACUUAAUUAUUUUUAUCCUUAUGUCGGUUUGUAACUUUAUUAGUAUUUUAGCUUUCAAAAGUUUUGACCAUAUAAAGAUUAGUUUCUCUCCUUAAAUGAGGAGGUUGCAAAUUGUACAUCAUCAUAACUUUUGAAUGCUAAUAUGAACUCAUUUCCCUCAUAUUCAGAUAUAGAAGAGCAAAAUAUUUUAGGUAGACAUAAAAAGUUUGAAGUAUGCACAAAGCCUGAAAGUGUUAAAUAUGGAAACUAAAAAAACCUGCCUUUGCCACUGACUGUAUAAAGGUUUUUUAAGGUCUGUUUAUCAAGCGUCAAGUCAGGUUAUCUUGCUACUGGUACCAUGUAGUACAUCCUUGUAGUCAUUA
rnacentral:lncRNA from 1 species